rnacentral:rRNA from 1 species
GAGUUUGAUCCUGGCUCAGAACGAACGCUGGCGGCAUGCCUAACACAUGCAAGUCGAACGGGAUCCUAGCUUGCUAGGUGAGAGUGGCGGACGGGUGAGUAACACGUGGGAACCUGCCUUUUGGUUCGGGAUAACCGCGGGAAACUGCGGCUAAUACCGGAUGCUCCCGAGAGGGGAAAGAUUUAUCGCCAGAAGAGGGGCCCGCGUCCGAUUAGGUAGUUGGUGGGGUAAAGGCCUACCAAGCCGACGAUCGGUAGCUGGUCUGAGAGGAUGAUCAGCCACACUGGGACUGAGAUACGGCCCAGACUCCUACGGGAGGCAGCAGUGGGGAAUAUUGGACAAUGGGGGCAACCCUGAUCCAGCAAUGCCGCGUGAGUGAUGAAGGCCUUAGGGUUGUAAAGCUCUUUUGCCAGGGAAGAUGAUGACUGUACCUGGAGAAUAAGCCCCGGCUAACUUCGUGCCAGCCGCCGCCGUAAU